UCGUAGCUCAGCUGGAUAGAGCAUCGGAUUUCGAUUCCGAGGGUCGGAGGUUCGAAUCCUUCCGA
rnacentral:tRNA from 1 species